GGGGUCGCUUGGUUUUGACAGCGGGUAGAAGAGGUAUGUAAGCAUGUCGAGCGCUGGGAUGUCGGCUCGUAAAUCUCGAUUCUCAAAAUUGUAACUGGCGAAAAUAACUACGCUCUUGCUGCUUAAUCGAAGUAUAGUAGAUUCUAGCUUUAUCCCGGCCAUAGUGUCGGGACGAGACAUCUCCCAAAUGCCGUGGUCUCGAGGCUCUUUGAUCAGGAGGUGCAGCUAAAUCGGGAAUAGUCGAACAUAGCCUCGUGCGUUCGAUGAGAUUCAGAGGAUAAGGUAACGGUUGGUGGCUUCGGUCUUGCCGGUACUCGAAAAAUGAAGGCGAAGAUAAACAUGUAGAAAGCGUAUUGCUUCCUCGUUUGGACGCGGGUUCGACUCCCGCCGGCUCCACAA
rfam:Paludibacter jiangxiensis DNA, scaffold: PJIAN_1, strain: NM7.